GCCGGGCAUGGUGGUGGGCGCCUGUAAUCCCAGCUACUUAGGAGGCUGAGGCAGGAGAAUUGCUCGAACCCAGGAGGUGGAGGCUGCAGUGAGCCAAGAUUGAGCCACUGCCCUCCAGCCUGGGUGACAGAGCGAGACCCCGUCUCAG
rnacentral:SRP_RNA from 1 species